GGGGCCCCGUCAUUGCAGGACCAGGAGAGGCCUCCGAGGAAGGUGAGGCUAGGGCAGGGAGCAGAGUGAGAUCCCAAUCUAAGCCUGACACUAUCUUCUCUCCCCCUUUAAAUUUUAAACUUUUAUUUUGAGACAGUUGUAGAUUCACUCGCAGUUAAAAGAAAUAGCACAGAGGGAGAUCCCAUGUGCCUUUUACCCAGCUCCCCCAAAAGGUUAACCCCUUACAAAACUAUAAUUUUGCAACCAAAUAUAAGGAUACUGAUGUUGAUACAGUCAUGCCACAGGCUAUCUCUUUUGAUGGCUGUUUUUCCUUAUGCAUAAAGUGGGACCAAGAGGUGGUAAAAGGAUGGAAGAUGGCUUUGCCAUGACGAACACCUCACUCUGGCCUACUUCUGUUUCCUCACCUAUCAGCCUCCCACACGCAGUUAAGGAGAGGUUUAUUUAUUUAUUUGAGAUGGAGUCUCGCUCUUGUUGCCCAGGUUGGAGGGCAGUGGCGCAAUCUGAGCUUACUGCAACCUCCACCUCCCAGGUUCAAGUGAUUCUCCUGCCUCAGCCUCCCGAGUAGCUGAGAUUACGGGUGUCUGCCACCACACCCAGCUAAUUUUUUAUUUUUAGUAGAGACAGGGUUUCGCCACGUUGGCCAGGCUGGUCUUGAACUCCUAACCUCAGGUGAUCCACCCGCCUCGGCCUCUCAAAGUGCUGGGACUACAUAAAGAUGUGAGUCAUGGCACCCAGCUAAGGAGAGGUUUAAAUGUGAGGAACAGCAGCACCUGGCACAGUGAGCUCUCAGUAAACGCUGCUAACCAUUC
rnacentral:lncRNA from 1 species